rnacentral:rRNA from 1 species
UUUAUUGAGAGUUUGAUCCUAGCUCAGGAUGAACGCUGGCGGCGUGGAUAAGGCAUGCAAGUCAAGGGGGUUCCGAUAAUUUAUUGGGACAACCGGCGAACGGGGUAGUAACACGUAGGUAUCUACCCUAAUCACGGGGACAACCCGCCGAAAGGCGGACUAAUACCCGAUAGUCUCCGACCCAUUUAUGGUGUCGGAGUAAAGGUUCCCGCUUAGCGGGAUUCCGGAUUAGGAUGAGCCUGCGGGCUAUCAGCUUGUUGGUAAGGUAACGGCUUACCAAGGCGAUGACGGCUAGGGGAGGUGAGAGCCUGACCCCCACCAAUGGCACUGCGACACGGGCCAUACACCUACGGGUGGCUGCAGUCGAGAAUCUUCCACAAUGGGCGAAAGCCUGAUGGAGCGACGCCGCGUGUACGAUGAAGCUCUUCGGAGUGUAAAGUACUUUUAUGUUUGAAGAAGUUCCCACUUAGUGGGAUUUGACAUUAAGACAGGAAUAAGGGGUUGCUAAACUCGUGCCAGCAGCAGCGGUAAUACGAGUGCCCCGAGCGUUGUCCGGAAUCACUGGGCGUAAAGAGUGUGUAGGGGGUGCUGUUAGUCUUGCUUUAAAUUUUUGCGCUCAACGCAAAAAAUGGGUGAGAAACGGCAGUACUUUGAGGAUGCGAGAGGUCUGUGGAACUCUGGGUGUAGGGGUGAAAUCCGUUGAUAUCCAGAGGAACACCAAAAGCGAAGGCAGCAGGCUGGCGUAUUCCUGACCCUGAGACACGAAAGCGUGGGUAGCGAAAGGGAUUAGAUACCCCUGUAGUCCACGCCCUAAACGAUGUUCUCUAGCUUUUCGAAGUAUCGACCCUUUGAGAGGCGAAGCUAACGCGUUAAGAGAACCGCCUGGGAAGUACGAUCGCAAGAUUAAAACUCAAAGGAAUAGACGGGGACUUGCACAAGCGGUGGAUCAUGCGGUUUAAUUCGACGAUAAACGAAGAACCUUACCAGGACUUGACAUACUAGUGAAAGUUCGAUGAAAGUUGGACCUUCUCACAAGGACACUAGUACAGGUGAUGCAUGGCUGUCGUCAGUUCGUGAUUUGAAUUGUUCCCUUAAGUGGGGUAACGAACGCAACCCUCAUGCUGUGUUACAAGUGUCACAGCAGACUGCCCAGCCUUUUGCGCACAAGCGUAAGCUUGCGAACAAAAGGCUGGGAGGAAGGUGAGGAUGACGCCAAGUCAGCAUGUCCCUUUGAUGUCCUGGGCUACACGCAUGAUACAAUGGCCGGUACAAUAGGUUGCCAAACCGCAAGGUGGAGCUAAUCCUAUCAAAGCCGGUCUCAGUUCGGAUUGGAGUCUGCAACUCGACUCCAUGAAGUUGGAAUCGCUAGUAAUCGCGGGUCAGCUAUACCGCGGUGAAUACGUUCUCAAGUCUUGUACUCACUGCCCGUCAAUGCAAGGGAGCUGGUAGUACUGGAAGCUCGGCUUUAAGUCGGUCCAAAGUAAGAUCAGUAACAAGGCAUAAGUCGUAACAAGGCACGGCUAGCGGAAGCUGGUCGUGGAACAUAACUAUA